GGUUCAGUCGUAAGCUCAGAUUGAACGCUGGCGGGAUGCUUUACACGCGCAGUCGAACGGCAGCACGGACUUCGGUCUGGUGGCGAGUGGCGAACGGGUGAGUAAUGUAUCGGAACGUGCCUAGUAGCGGGGGAUAACUACGCGAAAGCGUAGCUAAUACCACAUACGCCCUUCGGGGGAAAGCGGGGGACCUUCGGGCCUCGCACUAUUAAACGGCCGAUAUCGGAUUAGCUAGUUGGUGGGGUAACGGCUCACCAAGGCGACGAUCCAUGCGCUGGUUUGGGGAGGACGACCGGCCGCACUGGGACUGAGACACGGCCCAGACUCCUACGGGAGGCAGCGGUGAAAUUUUGGACAAUGGGGAAACCCUGAUCAGCCAUCCCGCGUGUGCGAUGAAGGCCUUCGGGUUGUAAAGCACUUUUGGCAGGAAAGAAACGGCACGGGAUAAUGCCCGUUGCGUGAGCAUUUUCAGAAUAAGCACCGGCUAACUACGUGCCAGCAGCCGCGGUAAUACGUAGGGUGCAAGCGUUAAUCGGAAUUACUGGGCGUAAAGCGUGCGCAGGCGGUUCGGAAGAAGAUGUGAAAUCCCAGGAAAACGCUUUGGAACUGCAUUUUUAACACGAGCUGAGAGCCGUGAGAGGGAGGUGGGGCCCGCGUGUAGCGGUGGUACGUAGAUAGCGGAGGAACACCGAUGGCGAAGGCAGCCUCCUGAGACAACACUGACGCUCAUGCACGAAAGCGUGGGGAGCAAACAGGAUUAGAUACCCUGGUAGUCCACGCCCUAAACGAUGUCAACUAGCUGUUGGGGCCUUCGGGCCUUGGUAGCGCAGCUAACGCGUGAAGUUGACCGCCUGGGGAGUACGGUCGCAAGAUUAAAACUCAAAGGAAUUGACGGGGACCGCACAAGCGGUGGAUGAUGUGGAUUAAUUCGAUGCAACGCGAAAAACCUUACCUACCCUUGACAUGUCUGGAAUCCCGAAAGAGAUUUGGGAGUGCUCGCAAGAAGGACUGGAACACAGGUGCUGCAUGGCUGUCGUCAGCUCGUGUCGUGAGAUGUUGGGUUAAGUCCUGUGAGCGCAACCCUUGUCAUUAGUUGCUGGGGGCGCUCUAAUGAGACUGCCAGUGACAAACCGGGAAGGUGGGGAUGACGUCAAGUCCUCAUGGCCACUUAUGGGUAGGGCUUCACACGUCAUACAAUGGUCGGGACAGAGGGUCGCCCCGGCCCCGCGAGGGAGCCAAUCCCAGAAACCCGAUCGUAGUCCGGAUCACAUGAUCUGCAACUCAGGCUGCAGUGAAGUCGGAAUCGCUAGUAAUCGCGGAUCGGCUAUGUCGCGGUGAAUACGUUCCCGGGUCUUGUACACACCGCCGUCACACCAUGGGAGUGGGUUUUACCAAGAAGUAGUUAGCCUAACCGUAAGGAGGGCGAUUACACGGUAGGAUUCAUGACUGGGGUAAGUCGUAACAAAGGUAA
rnacentral:rRNA from 1 species